GUGCUGCUGACGAGUCCCGAACAGAACAAAGCAGCUGUCCAGUAC
rnacentral:hammerhead_ribozyme from 1 species